rnacentral:rRNA from 1 species
UACGUAGGGUGCAAGCGUUAAUCGGAAUUACUGGGCGUAAAGCGUGCGCAGGCGGUUAUGCAAGACAGAUGUGAAAUCCCCGGGCUCAACCUGGGAAUUGCGGUUGAAACUGGCGAACUAGAAUCUGGCAGAGGGGGGUGGAAUUCCACGUGUAGCAGUGAAAUGCGUAGAGAUGUGGAGGAACAUCAGUUGCGAAGGCGGCUCUCUGGACCAGCACUGACACUGAGGCACGAAAGCGUGGGGAGCAAACAGG